rnacentral:rRNA from 1 species
CCUACGGGUGGCAGCAGUUGGGAAUAUUGGACAAUGGGCGCAAGCCUGACCCAGCAACGCCGCGUGAAGGAAGACGGCCCUCGGGUUGUAAACUUCUUUUAUCAAGGACGAAACAAAUGACGAUACUUGAUGAAUAAGCCACUGCUAACUACGUGCCAGCAGCCGUGGUAAUACGUAGGGGGCAAGCGUUAUGCGGAUUUACUGGUUUUAAAGGGCGUGUAGGCGGGACUGCAAGUAAGAUGGGAAAACCAUGGGCGUAAACCAGGGACUGCAUGUGAAACUGUAGUUCUUGAGUGUAGGAGAGGCAGGCGGAAUUCCGUGUGUAGCGGUGAAAUGCGUAGAUAUACGGAGGAACACCAGUGGCGAAGGCGGCCUGCUGGACAAUAACUGACGCUGAGGCGCGAAAGCGUGGGGAGCAAACAGGAUUAGAUACCCGUGUAGUC